rnacentral:rRNA from 1 species
ACGAACGCUGGCGGCGUGGAUAAGACAUGCAAGUCGAACGAGAGAAUUGCUAGCUUGCUAAUAAUUCUCUAGUGGCGCACGGGUGAGUAACACGUGAGUAACCUGCCCCCGAGAGCGGGAUAGCCCUGGGAAACUGGGAUUAAUACCGCAUAGUAUCGAAAGAUUAAAGCAGCAAUGCGCUUGGGGAUGGGCUCGCGGCCUAUUAGUUAGUUGGUGAGGUAACGGCUCACCAAGGCGAUGACGGGUAGCCGGUCUGAGAGGAUGUCCGGCCACACUGGAACUGAGACACGGUCCAGACACCUACGGGUGGCAGCAGUCGAGAAUCAUUCACAAUGGGGGAAACCCUGAUGGUGCGACGCCGCGUGGGGGAAUGAAGGUCUUCGGAUUGUAAACCCCUGUCAUGUGGGAGCAAAUUAAAAAGAUAGUACCACAAGAGGAAGAGACGGCUAACUCUGUGCCAGCAGCCGCGGUAAUACAGAGGUCUCAAGCGUUGUUCGGAAUCACUGGGCGUAAAGCGUGCGUAGGCUGUUUCGUAAGUCGUGUGUGAAAGGCGCGGGCUCAACCCGCGGACGGCACAUGAUACUGCGAGACUAGAGUAAUGGAGGGGGAACCGGAAUUCUCGGUGUAGCAGUGAAAUGCGUAGAUAUCGAGAGGAACACUCGUGGCGAAGGCGGGUUCCUGGACAUUAACUGACGCUGAGGCACGAAGGCCAGGGGAGCGAAAGGGAUUAGAUACCCCUGUAGUCCUGGCAGUAAACGGUGCACGCUUGGUGUGCGGGGAAUCGACCCCCUGCGUGCCGGAGCUAACGCGUUAAGCGUGCCGCCUGGGGAGUACGGUCGCAAGAUUAAAACUCAAAGAAAUUGACGGGGACCCGCACAAGCGGUGGAGUAUGUGGCUUAAUUCGAUGCAACGCGAAGAACCUUACCUGGGCUUGACAUGUAAUGAACAACAUGUGAAAGCAUGCGACUCUUCGGAGGCGUUACACAGGUGCUGCAUGGCCGUCGUCAGCUCGUGUCGUGAGAUGUUUGGUUAAGUCCAGCAACGAGCGCAACCCCUGUUGCCAGUUACCAGCACGUGAAGGUGGGGACUCUGGCGAGACUGCCCAGAUCAACUGGGAGGAAGGUGGGGACGACGUCAGGUCAGUAUGGCCCUUAUGCCCAGGGCUGCACACGUACUACAAUGCCCAGUACAGAGGGGGCCGAAGCCGCGAGGCGGAGGAGAUCCUAAAAACUGGGCCCAGUUCGGACUGUAGGCUGCAACCCGCCUACACGAAGCCGGAAUCGCUAGUAAUGGCGCAUCAGCUACGGCGCCGUGAAUACGUUCCCGGGUCUUGUACACACCGCCCGUCACAUCAUGGAAGCCGGUCGCACCCGAAGUAUCUGAAGCCAACCGCAAGGAGGCAGGGUCCUAAGGUGAGACUGGUAACUGGGAUG